UACGUAGGGUGCAAGCGUUAAUCGGAAUACUGGGCGUAAAGCGUGCGCAGGCGGUUUUGUAAGUCUGUCGUGAAAUCCCCGGGCUCAACCUGGGAAUGGCGAUGGAGACUGCAAGGCUAGAAUCUGGCAGAGGGGGGUAGAAUUCCACGUGUAGCAGUGAAAUGCGUAGAGAUGUGGAGGAACACCGAUGGCGAAGGCAGCCCCCUGGGUCAAGAUUGACGCUCAUGCA
rnacentral:rRNA from 1 species